GACAGAUGGACUGACUGACUUUCCUGAACAUCAGUGGAAGGCUGUAACAAGGCAGGAGGUCUGAGGCUAAGGGAGGGCCUUGAGCUACUGAGGAGUAAAAGACCCUACAGUACCAGUCCAGACAGGAAACAACUCGAAGGUCUGCCGCCCCAUCUCGAAGGUCUGCUUGUAUUCAGGGGAAGAAUCCCACUCCUGUGGACUGGGCUGGAACAUCAUGUCUGAUCUCUCAACACCACUUUGCUACAGCAGCUCAUGCACUCCUGGACAAGAAUGCUACUGGCCCUUUACCACUCAUAGAUGAUCGGCAUCUCCAGAGAGAGAGAGAGAUACAGACAAGAAUGAGAACAUGCUAUUUAAGCACUGAGGCUAUUGACAGGUGUCAGUCCGCAUAAAAGGAACCAACUCUUCCUCUCCCUUCCUUGUCCUCAGUCCGCAAAGUUUUAAUAAGUAUGCGGCCACUAGGAGCUAAAAGAAAUGCGCGAAAUGGAUUUUCAAAAAAUUAAACAGUGUUACAAGGUUUCAUAU